rnacentral:rRNA from 1 species
AUUGAACGCUGGCGGCAGGCCUAACACAUGCAAGUCGAGCGAGCGGCGGACGGGUGAGUACUGUCUGGGAACCUGCCUGAUGGAGGGGGAUAACUACUGGAAACGGUAGCUACUCCCGCAUACCAUCAGAUGUGCCCCGAUGGGAUGAGCUAGUGGGGGGGGGAACGGCCCACCUAGGCGACGAUCCCUAGCUGGUCUGAGAGGAUGACCAGCCACACUGGAACUGAGACACGGUCCAGACUCCUACGGGAGGCAGCAGUGGGGAAUAUUGGACAAUGGGCGCAAGCCUGAUGCAGCCAUGCCGCGUGUGUGAAGAAGGUCUUCGGGUUGUAAAGCACUUUCAGCGGGGAGGCGUUACCCGCAGAAGAAGCACCGGCUAACUCCGUGCCAGCAGCCGCGGUAAUAC